rnacentral:misc_RNA from 1 species
AAGGCAAGAACUUGGAUGCUCUUUCAGAAGUGUAUGAAUCAGAUACUAUUUCUCCAAGAAACAAGCCUCCUCCCAUAGAUGAUGGCACCCCAAAUGAGAGUGUUGCAGACGUAUUUGUCCGUGUGACACAACUUAUGUCCAUUCUUGAAACCCAGUAUUCUGGGGAGACAAUCAUUAUUGUCUCUCCAGAUUCUGACAAUUUAACAAUUCUACAAGCUGGUUUAGUCGGACUUGAUCUUCGAAGGCAUAGGGAUCUUUCAUUUGAUCCUGGGGAAGUCAGAUUUGUUGAUACCAG